AGAGUUUGAUCAUGGCUCAGAGCGAACGCUGGCGGCAGGCUUAACACAUGCAAGUCGAACGGGCAUAGCAAUAUGUCAGUGGCAGACGGGUGAGUAACGCGUGGGAACAUACCUCUUGGUUCGGAACAACACAGGGAAACUUGUGCUAAUACCGGAUAAGCCCUUACGGGGAAGGAUUUAUCGCCGAGAGAUUGGCCCGCGUCUGAUUAGCUAGUUGGUGUGGUAAAGGCGCACCAAGGCGACGAUCAGUAGCUGGUCUGAGAGGAUGAUCAGCCACAUUGGGACUGAGACACGGCCCAAACUCCUACGGGAGGCAGCAGUGGGGAAUAUUGGACAAUGGGCGCAAGCCUGAUCCAGCCAUGCCGCGUGAGUGAUGAAGGCCUUAGGGUUGUAAAGCUCUUUUGUACGGGAAGAUAAUGACGGUACCGUAAGAAUAAGCCCCGGCUAACUUCGUGCCAGCAGCCGCGGUAAUACGAAGGGGGCUAGCGUUGCUCGGAAUCACUGGGCGUAAAGGGUGCGUAGGCGGGUUUUUAAGUCAGAGGUGAAAUCCUGGAGCUCAACUCCAGAACUGCCUUUGAUACUGAAAGUCUUGAGUAUGGGAGAGGUGAGUGGAACUGCGAGUGUAGAGGUGAAAUUCGUAGAUAUUCGCAAGAACACCAGUGGCGAAGGCGGCUCACUGGCCCAUUACUGACGCUGAGGCACGAAAGCGUGGGGAGCAAACAGGAUUAGAUACCCUAGUAGUCC
rnacentral:rRNA from 1 species